CAUGCAAUACCCCUCUUCUCUGUCAUGCCUAUUCUUUAUCCAUCUAAAAAAUACCCUAGCAGCAGCCAUCGUCGUAGGCCUCCGCCGCCAGCCAACAACGGAGCACCGGCCGCCAGCUCCCUGCUCUCCGCCUCCCUGGAACGUCGGAUCUUGCCACCAUCCCAAACUCGCCGGCUCUCCCCACCCCCAAGGUCACAUCUCUCCCAGGCUCCCCUCCAACCCUGAGUUCCUCGCAUAGGGCACAGACUGAAACAAGCGUGUGGAUCCAAGGCAUGCCGCCCCUCCUCCGACUAGCCAACCAUGGUGGCGUGGUUCCUCAUGCGGUCCUCCUCCGACCAGCAAAUCAUAGCGGCGUGGUUCGUCUGACUUGCGCAGGGGCUCUUCUCUCCCAUCGAUCGGCGCCUCGACUUCGAAUCCUACAGCCGGCACCUCGACUUCAGCUUGCACAGACCAGCAUCCUUUGUUGCCAGAUCUUAACCACACCGAGUUCCUCCGGCCGUCGUCGUGAACCUCCAAGCAGAUAAGCCAACCUUCAUGUGUAUUUCCCGUUAUAUCUCCACACUCUAUUCCUCGCUGUUUAUUUUUCAGGAAGAAGGUGGAUUAGUGGCUAUUUCCAGUAUGUAGAUGGGAUGGCAAUGGCUCUUCCUUGGUUGAAGGAUGCAAUGCAUCUCGCUGAAUUCCAAGCUGUAUUAUUUUGGGUCUACCUAGAUACCCAAGCAGGGGAGAUAAAGGCUGCAAUUUGGGUGGAAAUCUAGGGAGACAAUUCUCGGUUUAGGUGGUCGUGAAGGGCGACUAAAAGAAGUCCAUCAUCACAUCAAGUUUUUUGAAAUUUGGGGACUAAAAUCAGAUCAAGAUGCAUUUGCCUGAAUAUAAAAUAUAAGGCAAAAAAGCCAAUAUAAAGAGAAGGAGAAAAAAACUGUUCCAAAGGAUAUAGCUACACUUCACAGCACUGGGAUUGUGGAUGUUGAUACAAAUUGGAUGUGCUUCUGUGUAGUCCCAAGUCAAGCAAUUUCUCACUGAUGUGUCACGCAAAGAUUUUUUUUCCAAAAGGCAAAGAUUCAUAGCUAGCAGUUUAUCAGCUGAUGACUCUUGCUUUGUUGAUUGUUGUGCUUAAUCAAUAUCCUUACAGGUAACUCGCAAGCCACUGUGAUCCAAUAUGAUGUUUGUUCAAUGCAUAACAUAAUUUGUCUAUGUGCAAUGCCCCAUGCUAUAUCCAAUUUUUCUUUCUAUGCUUGCACAUGUCUGAAGUCCAGACCCAGAGAGCUGCUUUUAAUUAUGUUGGCUAUGCAUGCAUGUAAUGCGUGCUGUAUAGCUAUUUAAGUAGAGGGUUCACUGUAUACUUUGCACAUGCCAUUUCCAACCUCUUUGGAAGCACGUAUGUCAACCUGCUACUAACUUAAACAUUUUAUAUUCUAUUUAUUUAUUCAUUAUUUUGGAACAAUUUCUGGGUAUACGAGGACGUACCAAGUCAGACAGAACUAAUUUGUGAACCCAAGUUAGUUGCGCAACCAGACCUGAUUUCUAAUAGACUUUAAGGCUUUAAUAGACACUGAAACAUUUUUCCUCUAAUCAGUGUAGAAGUAUUUGCUCUUGCCGCAAAAAAGGUUGCAUUACCCUAGAUUAUAUGUGAAAAUUUAGUUAGCUUAUUUGUAUAUCAAUUGUCAUGAAUUAAGCUAUGUAAUAAUCUGAAAAGAAAAUGCAUAGAGACAAGUACAAAGUAAUGUGGAUUCAAACUGCGCCGGUUAUAUAUUAAGAUUAUUACACCACCAGGAUUGCAUAUAGUAAUUUGAGAUUCAAUUAGUAGUUUGGCCAUUUAGUGUUUCCUAUUAUUAUGUGGGGUAGUAAUUUUCACAUAUGCUUAUACUAUAAUCUCUACACAUUUUAAAAUCCUAUAUUAUAUAUAUGUUUUACUGCUACAUUUUCUCUUCCUUAUUGAAUUCUAAAUUCUGAUCGAACCCAAAUGAAAAUCAUUGACAUGAUUAAAAGUAGUGAAUAUUGUGGUUUCCUUUCCAUGGCUAUUAUUUUCUGUUCAGUUCUCAUUGUUCAAUUCUACAACCGAAUGUUUUCACUAUGAAUUCUUCAAUUCCUAUUUCUCAUUUCUUACACUACUGUUGUGUGGUAUCACGUGACAAGAAGUUGCACAUAUUGUAGCAAACACAAACACCAGCCCAUGGGAAUGCACGGGUUCACAACUAAGCUAGGUUUUGGACAGUGUUACGUCCUUCCAACCAAUUAAUCAUUUUCUCUUCUAAGCGCAUACAGGUAGGAGGUGAAAAUAUCUACCAAUUUAUCACCGAAUCUCUUUUCUUGCUUAUAGUCCCUCUGUUCCUAAAUAUAAGUCUUAGAGAUUACACUAUAGACUACAUACGGAAUAAAAUGAGAACAUAUAAUUUAAAAGGCGUCUUUAUACAUUCGAAUGUAGUCUAUAUAGUGGAAUAUCUAAAAAGACUUAUAUUUAGGAAUGGAGGAAGUAUAUCGCAUGAAGUAUGCGGGACGCAGUUGUGGCACAUUAGUUUCACCAUAAAAGCAUAUACAACUCAAUGUACAUAUAUACAUGGAGAGUGGAUUUUUUUGCUCUUGGGCUAAUAAAAAAAUAACCUUUUAUGUUUUAGAAAAACUGCAAAUAAAUACAGGUACCUAUCGUGAAACUACUAAAUACACAGGUACUAUACACAAAAAAUGUCGACUAGAUGUGUGUGAAAUAUCAUCACGAAAUAAUUUUUGAUGUGAGCUGUACAAAAAGAAGUCAUGUGGUUUUAUAGUGAAUAGUACAUGUGCUUGAAAUAUGUGAUUUUGUCAUUUUUGUGUAGCUUGCAUAAAAAAGUAUUUCGCCAAGAAACUUUGUAGUCAAGUAGUAGACCAUCCAUAUGUAUGUGUGUACUUUCUUUACCUAAAAAAUAGUUUUUUCAAAAUUUCAAAUUAGGGCCUCCAUGGAGCUUGAGCUCUAUUAGGAAUUGCCUAUGCAUGUUGUUAUUUUAAUUUUAGUCUUUUCCCUAGCAAUUCGACAUGUCUCAUUCUUUAUCAUCACCAAUUACAAAUAAAUGACAGAAGAGAGAAUGUCACAUGAAAAUCACUAGAUAAGGUUAUUUUGGGCAUAGCUAAUUAAUUAGAUGGGCAUGUGAAUCCAGAUUUGAUGGAUGUUCAAUUGCUACAUCACUUCUAUUAUUGUAUUCUUACUAUCCUACCGUGAUGACUGGAGAUGGCAGGUUUGUGGAGAAGAUGUCCCAUGACAACACAAUCCAGUGCAUAAUUGCUUUAGCAGCCGGAAAAAGAGUCAAGAUGCAGCGAUGCAGUGUCAAGUGAGCAAUGGCAUGGCAUGAGCAAUUGCGGGGCCAGAUGCGAGCGCCACUGCUGUCCCACAAUGAACAAGUUAUUCUGCUGUUUAUGAUCAAGGCAUUGUUUGAUAAGGAAACCCAUUUGCUUCUGAACUAAUCCACGUGGCAACUUCCAUGGUUCAUCUAAUAUAAUUUUGAAAGCAAUCUGAUACAACCUCAA